GACGAACGCUGGCGGCGUGCUUAACACAUGCAAGUCGAGCGAUGAAGUUCCUUCGGGAAUGGAUUAGCGGCGGACGGGUGAGUAACACGUGGGUAACCUGCCUCAUAGAGGGGAAUAGCCUUUCGAAAGGAAGAUUAAUACCGCAUAAGAUUGUAGUAUCGCAUGAUACAGCAAUUAAAGGAGUAAUCCGCUAUGAGAUGGACCCGCGUCGCAUUAGCUAGUUGGUGAGGUAACGGCUCACCAAGGCGACGAUGCGUAGCCGACCUGAGAGGGUGAUCGGCCACAUUGGGACUGAGACACGGCCCAGACUCCUACGGGAGGCAGCAGUGGGGAAUAUUGCACAAUGGGGGAAACCCUGAUGCAGCAACGCCGCGUGAGUGAUGACGGUCUUCGGAUUGUAAAACUCUGUCUUCAGGGACGAUAAUGACGGUACCUGAGGAGGAAGCCACGGCUAACUACGUGCCAGCAGCCGCCGCCG
rnacentral:rRNA from 1 species